CCCAGAUUGGCUUUGAAUUUUCCAUCCUCUUGCCUCAGCCUCUGAAGUGCUGUGUGAAGACAUCACACAGGCCAGUGACACCAGGCCUGAGUCCAUACUUACCUACAUUCUAACUGAAAGGACACUGGUGGUGACUAGCACCUCCAUCAUGACUCACAUCACCGUGUCUUAGCUGGUCUCCCUACUCAGCUUACAAAGCUUCAACCUGCUGUUGGCAGCGAGGCAGUAGUGGGUAUGGAAGGGUCCUUCAGGCUGAGUCAUAGGCAGGCACCCCCCUCCCUCUCCAGAGGGACGUGGACACAAGAGCCCCUGCUUUGUGCACCAAAGACAUCACAAUGGCUGGCUGUGGCAGUUGUAAGAGCUCUCCUUUCUCCCCAGCGGGGCCUCUCCAAGGAAACUUCUGGAACCAGGGGCCCGUCCACUCAGAACCUGGAACCCCCUGAGUCUGCUCAAUGAGUACUUCUGAAACAAAGGACUCUCAUGGCACCAAGAGAGAACCCUGACCAUGAUGUUAGGCAGUCCAGGGAGACGCCACCUUCUUCCUACCCUCCUAGCUCAAGAGGACCAGGAUCACCUGGAGUUUACCCUGUGUACAACCAAGUCCCACCAGGCCCGUUCACUGGCAUACCUUAUAUGCCAACUUCGAUCCCAGUGCAGGCCGUAUGUCCCUACUGUGGGAACCGUAUCAUGACAGUGACCACCUAUACCCCAGGCCUCCUCACCUGGCUGCUGUGCAGUGGCCUCUUUGUGUUUGGGUGCUUCCUGGGCUGCUGUCUCAUCCCCUUCUGCAUACGGAGCACCAUGGAUGUGACCCACUCCUGCCCCAUGUGCCAUCACCAGAUCUACUACUUCCAUCGCCUGGGAUUAUGACUAUAAACAGCAAUAAAGCAACAUCAGGG
rnacentral:lncRNA from 1 species